rnacentral:rRNA from 1 species
AAAAACAUCGCCUCUUGAAUCUUUAUAAGAGGUCCAGCCUGCCCAGUGACUCUGUUCAACGGCCGCGGUAUCCUAACCGUGCGAAGGUAGCGUAAUCACUUGUUCUUUAAAUGAGGACUAGUAUGAACGGCACCACGAGGGUUAUGCUGUCUCCCCUUUCUAAUCAGUUAAACUAAUCUCCCCGUGAAGAAGCGAGGAUGAACAUAUAAGACGAGAAGACCCUAUGGAGCUUUAAACAAUAUAGCAUUUAUCAUAAAAAUUCUAACUUGCGAGUCCACUCUACAACAGAUUAUUUGACUAUAAGUUUUUGGUUGGGGUGACCGCGGAACAUAACAUAACCUCCACGUUGCAAGAAUUUACUUCUAAACUAAGAACCACAGCUCUAAGAAUCAAUACCUUGACAUCAAUUGACCCAAUACAUUUGAUCAACGAACCAAGUUACCCUAGGGAUAACAGCGCAAUCCACUUCAAGAGCCCCUAUCGACAAGUGGGUUUACGACCUCGAUGUUGGAUCAGGGUUUCCCAGUGGUGCA